GCGGGUUUAGCUCAGUUGGGAGAGCGUCAGACUGAAGCUAGCUCUUCCCCUUAUAUGAGGAGAAAGAACUACCCAAACUUCAAUCCAUCUAUCUGAAGGUCGUGUGUUCGAUCCACACAAACCGCA